UCCUCCCUCUCUCUCUAAUGCAUCAGCCAUGAAGAACACACACGCCUGUGAAGCUCCUCUUCUCUCUCUUUCCAUUGCAGAGGGACGGAGAUGGAUUCACGAUGAUGUCUGCGUGGAUGGGUUCGGCAAUCACGGGCUACAAUGGUGGUCACUGGAGAUGAGAGACAGAGAAGACGAGGGUCGCAUUUGGAUCUGUUCAAUCUGGUGGGCCGCAUUUGGAUCUGAUUAGAUCGAACGGAUUUGCUGAAAAAAAAAAAAAAAAGAAGAAGAAAAAAAGACUUAGAGAUGCUAGCUGGAACUGGUUAGCCAAUGGAUGUGGCAGUCUAGGCUCAUGUUUCUUCACAAGCUACCAAGGAUGCUGGUGUUAUUGCUGGAAUGAAUGUAGCCAGGAUAAUCAAUGAACCAAUAGCCGCAGCCAUUGCCUAUGGUUUGGAGAAGAAAGGUGGGGAGAAAAACAUCCUUGUGUUUGACCUUGGUGGUGGGACAUUCGAUGUCAGUAUCUUGACAAUUGAUAAUGGGAUUUUUGAGGUUCUAACCACAAAUGGAGACCCAUCUUGGAGGUAGGACCCUCACUAUUUUCCAUUGGUUUUCUAGUUUAGUGGAUUGAGAAUCAUUGAAUAAAAAACAGUUCAGCAGUCUCCAUUUCUCAUUAGUGAAUGCAACUUGAUAUAAAUCACAAAGAUAAAGUCAUACCAGUCAGGGAGGCUAAUCAUUGAUUUUUCUUGCACCUUCGUAAACACAAGUUCUGAGAGAACCUGGCCUUGUAUGACCAGAUGAAAACACAAUCAAUAAGUCAGCCCCUUUAUCCAAAUUGAUAUAU